AACACAAAGAAAAGCAAGAAAAAUGAUGUUCAACCUUCCUGGGAAAUGAUCCUUUGUUCUGCAUGAAGUUAUUACCUCCAUGCUGAGGUAUCGGUCAGGAUUCUUCGGAUAACCCAGCAACUCUCUCAGCAUCUAUUAAGACUCCAUUUCAGGAAUGGAACGCUCUCCAGAGCCCCCUUUCAGCUGCUACAAUAAGGGAAGAUGAAAGGAAUGGAAACUACCCACCUCCAUGGUAGGCUCGGCUU